UACGUAGGGGGCUAGCGUUGCUCGGAAUGACUGGGCGUAAAGGGCGCGUAGGUGGCAUGAUAAGGGUGUGGUGAAAGCCCGGGGCUCAACCCCGGGUCGGCCAUGCCGACUGUCACGCUGGAGUACUGUAGGGGCAGGCGGAAUUCCGGGUGUAGCGGUGGAAUGCGUAGAUAUGCGGAGGAACACCGAUGGCGAAGGCAAUCCCCUGGGCCAACACUGACGCUCAUGCACGAAAGCGUGGGGAGCGAACAGG
rnacentral:rRNA from 1 species